GAGUUUGAUCCUGGCUCAGAUUGAACGCUGGCGGCAUGCUUUACACAUGCAAGUCGAACGGCAGCGGGUCCUUCGGGAUGCCGGCGAGUGGCGAACGGGUGAGUAAUGCAUCGGAACGUACCCAGUCGUGGGGGAUAACUACUCGAAAGAGUGGCUAAUACCGCAUACGACCUGAGGGUGAAAGCGGGGGACCGCAAGGCCUCGCGCGAUUGGAGCGGCCGAUGUCGGAUUAGCUAGUUGGUGGGGUAAAGGCUUACCAAGGCGACGAUCCGUAGCUGGUCUGAGAGGACGACCAGCCGCACUGGGACUGAGACACGGCCCAGACUCCUACGGGAGGCAGCAGUGGGGAAUUUUGGACAAUGGGCGCAAGCCUGAUCCAGCAAUGCCGCGUGCAGGAAGAAGGCCUUCGGGUUGUAAACUGCUUUUGUCAGGGAAGAAAUCUUCUGGGUUAAUACCUCGGGAGGAUGACGGUACCUGAAGAAUAAGCACCGGCUAACUACGUGCCAGCAGCCGCGGUAGCUAAAU
rnacentral:rRNA from 1 species